GUGAAUCAUCAAAUCUUUGAACGCAAAUUGCACUCUCUUCGGAGAGGAUGCGUGUUUGAGUGUCAGCCUAAAAAAAAUCGACAUCGUUGCUGUUUCUCUGUGGCGUUCGUCGGAAAUUUGGGUAUCUUAAAUCGUUGGUUUAAGCGACUUAAAAUUUUCUUUACGAUGCCAUGAACGUUUCCAAUAUUUAUUGCUUUACACGUUUAAGGUACCUAUUGUAUUAGGCGUUGUCGUCAUAG
rnacentral:misc_RNA from 1 species